GACGAACGCUGGCGGCGUGCUUAACACAUGCAAGUCGAACGGACAGGCCCUGCUUUUGUGGGGUGCUCGAGUGGCGAACGCGUGAGUAACACGUGAGUAACCUGCCCUUGACUUUGGGAUAACUUCAGGAGACUGGGGCUCAUACCGGAUAUGAGCUCCUGCUGCAUGGUGGGGGAUGGAAAGUUUCGGCGGUUGGGGAUGGACUCGCGGCUUAUCAGCUAGUUGGUGGGGUAGUGGCUUACCAAGGCUUUGACGGGUAGCCGGCCUGAGAGGGUGACCGGCCACAAGGGGACUGAGAUACGGACCAGACUGCUACGGGAGGCAGCAGUGGGGAAUAUUGCACAAUGGGCGGAAGCCAGAGGCAGCAACGCCGCGUGCGGGAUGACGGCCUUCGGGUUGUAAACCGCUUUCGCCGGUGACGAAGCGUGAGUGACGGUAAUGGGUAAAGAAGCACCGGCUAACUACGUG
rnacentral:rRNA from 1 species